rnacentral:rRNA from 1 species
UGGGAGCCUACCAUGCAAGUCGAGCGGAAACGAGUUAUCUGAACCUUCGGGGGACGAUAACGGCGUCGAGCGGCGGACGGGUGAGUAAUGCCUAGGAAAUUGCCCUGAUGUGGGGGAUAACCAUUGGAAACGAUGGCUAAUACCGCAUAAUACCUACGGGUCAAAGAGGGGGACCUUCGGGCCUCUCGCGUCAGGAUAUGCCUAGGUGGGAUUAGCUAGUUGGUGAGGUAAUGGCUCACCAAGGCGACGAUCCCUAGCUGGUCUGAGAGGAUGAUCAGCCACACUGGAACUGAGACACGGUCCAGACUCCUACGGGAGGCAGCAGUGGGGAAUAUUGCACAAUGGGCGCAAGCCUGAUGCAGCCAUGCCGCGUGUGUGAAGAAGGCCUUCGGGUUGUAAAGCACUUUCAGUCGUGAGGAAGGUAGUGUAGUUAAUAGCUGCAUUAUUUGACGUUAGCGACAGAAGAAGCACCGGCUAACUCCGUGCCAGCAGCCGCGGUAAUACGGAGGGUGCGAGCGUUAAUCGGAAUUACUGGGCGUAAAGCGCAUGCAGGUGGUUUGUUAAGUCAGAUGUGAAAGCCCGGGGCUCAACCUCGGAAUAGCAUUUGAAACUGGCAGACUAGAGUACUGUAGAGGGGGGUAGAAUUUCAGGUGUAGCGGUGAAAUGCGUAGAGAUCUGAAGGAAUACCGGUGGCGAAGGCGGCCCCCUGGACAGAUACUGACACUCAGAUGCGAAAGCGUGGGGAGCAAACAGGAUUAGAUCCCCGGGUUAAUUCAAA